UGGGGAAUAUUGCACAAUGGGCGAAAGCCUGAUGCAGCAACGCCGCGUGAGGGACGACGGCCUUCGGGUUGUAAACCUCUUUUAGCAAGGAAGAAGCGAAAAGUGGACGGUACUUGCAGAAAAAAGCGCCGGCUAACUACGUGCCAGCAGCCGCGGUAAUACGUAGGGGCGCAAGCGUUAUCCGGAAAUUAUUGGGCGUAAAAGAGCUCGUAGGCGGUUUGUCGCGUCUGCUGUGAAAACCCGAGGCUCAACCUCGGGCCUGCAGUGGGUACGGGCAGACUAGAGUGCGGUAGGGGAGAUUGGAACUCCUGGUGUAGCGGUGGAAUGCGCAGAUAUCAGGAAGAACACCGAUGGCGAAGGCAGAUCUCUGGGCCGUAACUGACGCUGAGGAGCGAAAAGGGUGGGGGAGCAAAACAGGGCUUAGAUGACCCUGGUAGUCCACCCCGUAAACGUUGGGAACUAGUUGUGGGGUCCAUUCCACGGAUUCCGUGACGCAGCUAACGCAUUAAGUUCCCCGCCUGGGGGAGUACGGCCGCAAGGCUAAAAACUGCAAAUGAAUUGACGGGGUCAU
rnacentral:rRNA from 1 species